UACGGAGGGUGCAAGCGUUAAUCGGAAUUACUGGGCGUAAAGCGCACGCAGGCGGUUUGUUAAGUCAGAUGUGAAAUCCCCGAGCUUAACUUGGGAACUGCAUUUGAAACUGGCAAGCUAGAGUCUCGUAGAGGGGGGUAGAAUUCCAGGUGUAGCGGUGAAAUGCGUAGAGAUCUGGAGGAAUACCGGUGGCGAAGGCGGCCCCCUGGACGAAGACUGACGCUCAGGUGCGAAAGCGUGGGGAGCAAACAGGAUUAGAUACCCUGGUAGUCCACGCCGUAAACGAUGUCGAUUUGGAGGUUGUGCCCUUGAGGCGUGGCUUCCGGAGCUAACGCGUUAAAUCGACCGCCUGGGGAGUACGGCCGCAAGGUUAAA
rnacentral:rRNA from 1 species